rnacentral:tRNA from 1 species
AUGUGGCUUAAAAGUUAGAACACAUGCCUAGCAAGCAUCAGGAUCUGGGUUCAAAUCCCAGUAU